GACGAACCGUGCGAACGUUGUUCGGAAUCACUGGGCUUAAAGGGCGCGUAGGCGGACUGCCAAGUCCGGGGUGAAAUCCUCCGGCUUAACCGGAGAAUUGCCUGGGAUACUGGCGGUCUUGAGCCAUCCAGGGGCAGUCGGAACAGACGGUGGAGCGGUGAAAUGCGUAGAUAUCGUCUGGAACGCCGAAGGUGAAAACAGACUGCUGGGGAUGGGCUGACGCUGAGACACGAAAGCCAGGGGAGCGAACGGG
rnacentral:rRNA from 1 species